rnacentral:piRNA from 1 species
UGAUAAGAGUAGGAACUCCUAAAGGAGAGC